ACUCCUACGGGAGGCAGCAGUGGGGAAUUUUGCGCAAUGGGGGAAACCCUGACGCAGCAACGCCGCGUGAGUGAUGAAGGCCUUUGGGUCGUAAAGCUCUGUCAGAGGGGAAGAAAUGAUAUAGUGCUAAUACCACUUUAUCUUGACGGUACCCUCAAAGGAAGCACCGGUUAACUCCGUGCCAGCAGCCGCGGUAAUACGGAGGGUGCGAGCGUUGUUCGGAUUUAUUGGGCGUAAAGCGCGUGUAGGCGGUUUUUUAAGUCUGAUGUGAAAGCCCCGGGCUCAACCUGGGAAGUGCAUUGGAUACUGGGAGACUUGAAUACGGGAGAGGGUAGUGGAAUUCCUAGUGUAGGAGUGAAAUCCGUAGAUAUUAGGAGGAACACCGGUGGCGAAGGCGGCUACCUGGACCGAUAUUGACGCUGAGACGCGAAAGCGCGGGGAGCAAACAGGAUUAGAUACCCUGGUAGUCCACGCCGUAAACGAUGAGUACUAGGUGUUGCGGGUAUUGACCCCUGCAGUGCCGCAGCUAACACAUUAAGUACUCCGCCUGGGAAGUACGGUCGCAAGACUAAAACUCAAAUGAAUUGACGG
rnacentral:rRNA from 1 species